CAGCACCUGGUGGGAAGGCAGGGCCAGCCCAGCAGAGCUCAGGUGUGUGCAAUGCCCUCUGAGUGACUGGAAGGGGUGGAGUCAGGAUCCACCCCAUCCCACACCUCAUUUAAGGGUUGGCAAUGGAAGCAAGGGUAUCUUACUGGAGAUCCCUGUAUACCUGUAGCCUUCAAAAGAAAAUAGCUAACUUCAAAGCUGAUGGAGUGGUCAUGGAUGAAGCAAACCAGUGAAAUGAUGAGUGCUAGGAAAUCGUACACCUUCAAGAUCAGGGAGGGCUCUACGCCAUGGGUAUGUACUUU
rnacentral:lncRNA from 1 species